GUCCUUUUGUUUAUUUAUUUAAGGUCUAACCUGCCCACUGAAGUUUAAAUGGCCGCGGUAUUUUGACCGUGCUAAGGUAGCAUAAUCAUUAGUUUUUUAAUUAAAAGCUAGAAUGAAAGGUUGAAUGAAAAAAAAACUGUCUUGAAUUAAAUAUUUAGAAUUUUAUUUUUAAGUUAAAAAGCUUAAAUAAUUUUAAAAGACGAGAAGACCCUAUAGAGUUUAAUAUAUUUAAAUUUAUAUGAUAAAGUAUUUACUUAUAUAAUAAAAUUUAUAUUUAAUUGGGGUGAUUAAAAAAUUUAUAUAACUUUUUUUAUAUUUUAAUAUUUAUUAAUAAUUAUUUGAUCCAAUUUUAUUGAUUAAAAGAUUAAAUUACCUUAGGGAUAACAGCGUAAUUUUAUUAGAGAGUUCUAAUCGAUAAUAAAGAUUGCGA
rnacentral:rRNA from 1 species